AACGCAAUUUGCACCGGGUGAUGCAUGUCAUCCGGUAUACUUGUUUGAGUAUCUGAAACACUCUCACUCCCCUCUCGGGGCGGAGCGGACAGGUUGAGAUUCUAGACCUCUAAGCAAUUAGAACUAGUCUCUUGAAAGAGACAUGUCUCGCUUUCAAGCGUGGACCGCGCAUCAUACGAAGAAGGUGUGUGACUAUUGGGAUAACAUCCUAACAAUCGUCCCUCUUCUUGAUAAGAAGUAUGUGUCGCUGGAACAUUGUGGACAUGCAGGGAAAAGAGUGUGUAACCGCGCUCUAAUCCAUACUAUCCUCCUUGUCUAUGUACGUGGAAGACGGUCGUUCUCUGGAUCUCAAAUCAAGUAAGGAUACCCGCUGAACUUAA
rnacentral:misc_RNA from 1 species